UCCAGACUCCUACGGGAGGCAGCAGUGGGGAAUAUUGCACAAUGGGGGAAACCCUGAUGCAGCGACGCCGCGUGAGCGAUGAAGUAUUUCGGUAUGUAAAGCUCUAUCAGCAGGGAAGAAAAUGACGGUACCUGACUAAGAAGCCCCGGCUAACUACGUGCCAGCAGCCGCGGUAAUACGGAGGAUGCGAGCGUUAUCCGGAUUUAUUGGGUUUAAAGGGGGGGCAGGCGGAAGGGCAAGUCAGCGGGAAAAUGGGGGGGGCCCACCCCCUCCCCGCCGUUGAAACUUCGUUUCUUGAGUGGGCGAGAAGUACGCGGAAUGCGUGGUGUAGCGGUGAAAUGCAUAGAUAUCACGCAGAACUCCGAUUGCGAAGGCAGCGUACCGGCGCCCAACUGACGCUCAUGCACGAAAGCGUGGGUAUCGAACAGGAUUAGAUACCCCUGUAG
rnacentral:rRNA from 1 species